rnacentral:rRNA from 1 species
AGAGAUGUGUGAUGACGCAUAUCAAUAAGCGGAGGAAAAGAAACUAACAAGGAUUCCCUUAGUAACGGCGAGUGAAGCGGGAAGAGCUCAAAUUUGAAAUCUUCAAGGUUCUACCUUGACGAAUUGUAGUUUAUAGAAGUGUUUUCUGUUAGUGGAGUGGCAAAAGUUCUUUGGGAUAGGACAUCAUAGAGGGUGAGAAUCCCGUAUUUGGUCAUUCCUCCUAGCGUUGUGAUACACUUUCAACGAGUCGGAUUGUUUGGGAAUGCAGUCCAAAAUGGGUGGUAAAUUUCAUCUAAAGCUAAAUAUUGGCGAGAGACCGAUAGCGAACAAGUACCGUGAGGGAAAGAUGAAAAGAACUUUGAAAAGAGAGUUAAACAGUACGUGAAAUUGUCAAAAGGGAAGCGUUUGACACCAGUGUUGUUUUUCCGAAAAUCAAUUACGAAUGUUUUAUUUUUGAGAAGUUAUGACUUCAUCGGCUUGCUCUCUUCUUUAUGAAACUUUCUUAAUGCACUUUUCGGUUAACAAGUCAACAUCAAUUUCUUUUGUUGUAAAAGGGUAUGAGGAAGGUGGCUUUCUUUUCGGAGAAAGUGUUUAUAGCCUUGUACCUCUGCAAUCGGAGAGAUUGAGGUCUGCAGCGUAGAUCCUUCGGGGUUAGAUACAUUUGUGCUAAGUUAUAGCUUUUCAUAGACAACUUGUUGACUAUGUUAAGUCUUGUAGCUUACUCGCUUAUGCUAUUUUACCUACGCUUAGGAUGUUGAUCUGUAGUGCGUGCGC